GUAGACUCAUUUCACAAAAACUUGCACUGCAUUCUUUAAGGCAUAUAGAAGCGCUAUAAACUGUAAGUCAACAGCAAGGCAGCGACGUGUACAAACCUCAAUAAGCAAUUGAAUAUUGGGCAAAAGGCGUUAAAAGUAGCAAGGAUAAACGAAAAGAGAGUUAUAUUUAUACGUUUUGGAAGGUGAAUGUGAUCAUUUAUCAGUGAAUUGGUUGACAUUGCGGUACAAUGGGAGUAAGUAGGGAGUAUCUGAUCUUCAGUGUAGCGACGAUUGCUUCCGCUACCUUUGUGAUUCUUACCAUAUAUUCGGGAAUGGAAAAACAUGAAAAAGAUCGAGUUUUACAACCAAGAAUCACAAUGUCACAACGGUCCAACGAUCACUUUCUGCAGAACUGUCCGGCAACCCAGGCUUUGCGUCGACACACCCAACGUCAUGGUUGUUCCUCCCUCGGCUUCAGUGACAAAGAAACCUACAAGCUGAACAAAAUAAUUACAAAUCCGAGCUACCUUCGGAAUAUCUACGUCUCCGAAAGAUACCGAACCAUCAUCUGUCUCAUUCCGAAAGCAACCAGCAUGAACUGGGUGAGAACUCUAAUGAUACUAGAGGGCGCGAUCAACUCGACGAAUGGCUUGGCGCCGCAAGAAAUAGUACAUGCAGCCAAGAAGCAUCUCCGCGUGCUAGGCCAGUAUA